rnacentral:sRNA from 1 species
CUAAUAUCAUGAAAGUAGGUCCAGAGAUACCUAAUGUAGGUCCUAAUGUAG